CGGGAUGUAGCGCAGCCAGGUAGCGUACUAGCAUGGGGUGCUAGGGGUCGCUGGUUCGAAUCCAGUCAUCCCGACAA
rnacentral:tRNA from 2 species